rnacentral:lncRNA from 1 species
AGCUGGGUCAAAUGGUGGUUCCAUUCCCAGCUUUCCAAGAAAUCUCCAUACUGCUUUCCAAAUUGGCUGCACCAAUUUGCAGUCCCACCAGCAAUGUACAAGUGUACCCUUUUCCCCACAUCCUCACCAGCACUUGUUGCUGUUUGACUUCAUAAUGGCUGCCAAUCUUACUGGAAUGAGAUGGUAUCUUAGGGUGGUUUUGAUUUGCAUUUCUCUGACAGCUAGAGAUGAUUAGCAUUUUUUCUUAUAUUUAUUGAUUGAUUG